UACGUAGGGUGCGAGCGUUAAUCGGAAUUACUGGGCGUAAAGCGUGCGCAGGCGGUUUUGUAAGCCAGAUGUGAAAUCCCCGGGCUCAACCUGGGAAUGGCAUUUGGGACUGCAAGGCUGGAGUGUGGCAGAGGGGACUAGAAUUCCUGGUGUAGCAGUGAAAUGCGUAGAUAUCAGGAGGAAUACCGAUGGCGAAGGCAGGUCCCUGGGUUAACACUGACGCUCAUGCACGAAAGCGUGGGGAGCAAACAGG
rnacentral:rRNA from 2 species